rnacentral:rRNA from 1 species
AUGGCCGGGGCAGCACCCUCGGAGGAAGCGCUCCGCCGGGCGCUGGCGGAGAGGCAGACGGCAGUGGACGCGCAGGCCGAGGCCGUGCGGUCACUCAAGGCCUCCGGUGCCAAGGAGGGCGUCGACGCGGCGGUCGAGGCGCUGAAGGCGCUGAAGAUCGAGGCUGGCGCGGCCGCGCGCAGGCUGCAAGCUGCCGUCGGGUCCGGCGGCGGCGCCGCGCGGGAGGAGAUGCGGCAGACAGUGGUGAACACCCUCGAGCGGAAGCUCUUCUACAUACCUUCGUUCAAGAUCUACCGCGGCGUCGCUGGCCUGUACGACUACGGGCCGCCCGGGUGUGCGGUCAAGUCCAACGUCCUGGCCUUCUGGAGGCAGCAUUUUGUUCUGGAGGAGAAUAUGUUGGAGGUUGACUGCCCCUGUGUGACACCUGAGGUUGUCUUAAAGGCAUCAGGGCAUGUCGAGAAGUUCACCGACCUCAUGGUUAAGGAUGAGAAGACAGGCACAUGCUAUCGUGCUGAUCACCUGUUGAAAGAUUUUUGCAAGGACAAGCUUGAGAAGGAUCUCACCUUAUCCCCUGAGACGGCUGCCGAGUUUAAGCGCGUCCUUGCUGUGUUAGAUGACCUCUCAACAGAGGAACUCGGUGCAAAGAUCAAGGAAUAUGGCAUUGUUGCCCCUGAUACAAAGAACCCACUCUCUGCUCCCUACCCAUUCAAUCUUAUGUUCCAGACAUCAAUUGGCCCAACAGGUCUUAGCGUGGGGUAUAUGAGGCCAGAGACUGCACAGGGUAUUUUUGUCAACUUCAAGGACUUGUACUACUACAAUGGCCAAAAGCUUCCCUUUGCAGCAGCUCAAAUUGGUCAAGCAUUCCGCAACGAGAUCUCUCCACGUCAAGGUCUUCUACGAGUGCGUGAAUUCACAUUGGCCGAGAUUGAGCACUUCGUAGAUCCUGAGGAUAAGUCACAUCCCAAGUUUGUUGAUGUUGCUGAUUUGGAGUUCUUGAUGUUUCCGAGAGAGCUGCAGCUCUCAGGGGAGUCAGCCAAGUUAACGAAGCUUGCAGAAGCAGUUUUGAAGGGAACUGUUAAUAAUGAGACACUUGGUUACUUUAUUGGAAGGGUCUAUCUUUUCCUGACACGUUUGGGAAUUGAUAAGAGCCGAUUGCGCUUCAGACAGCAUCUACCUAAUGAGAUGGCUCAUUAUGCUGCUGACUGCUGGGAUGCAGAGAUUGAGUGUUCUUAUGGAUGGAUAGAGUGUGUGGGCAUUGCAGAUAGAUCUGCAUAUGAUUUAAAAGCUCAUUCUGAGAAAAGUGGCGUUCCACUUGUUGCUCAUGAAAAGUUUUCAAAGCCUAGAGAAGUUGAGAAACUUUUUAUCGUGCCCUCAAAGAAAGACCUAGGGCUUGCUUUCAAGGGCAAUCAGAAGAUGGUGGUUGAAGCAUUGGAGGCUAUGAGUGAGAAGGAAGCAAUGGACAUGAAGACUGCAUUGGAAUCUAAGGGGGAGACGAACUUCCAAGUUUGCACACUUGGAAAGGACGUGGUGAUUACAAAGAAAAUGGUAUCGAUCAGUAUGGAGAAGAAGCUGGAGCACCAGCGAGUCUUCACCCCUUCAGUUGUUGAGCCCUCAUUUGGCAUAGGGAGGAUAAUCUAUUGUCUGUUUGAGCAUUCCUUCUACACAAGACCUAGCAAAUCAGAAGAGGAGCAGCUGAAUGUCUUCCGGUUCCCUCCUAUCGUGGCUCCUAUCAAGUGCACUGUGUUCCCGCUGGUAAAGAAUCAAGAGUUUGAUGGUGCCGCCAAAGUGCUUGCUAAAGAAUUAACAGCUGCAGGCAUCUCACACAUUAUUGACACGACUGGCAUUUCUAUCGGGAGGAGGUACGCAAGAACGGACGAGAUAGGUGUUCCUUUUGCAGUAACGGUUGAUUCUGCAACAGAGGUGACGAUCCGAGAGAGGGACAGCAAACAGCAGGUGAGGGUGGGCAUCGACGAGGUGGCAUCCGUGGUGAAGGAGCUGACAGAAGGCCAAAGCACCUGGACCGAUAUUUCAUUCAAGUAUCCCAGUCAUAUUGGCCCCCAAGGUGACCAGGAGUGA